rnacentral:misc_RNA from 1 species
UUUCCGUAGGUGAACCUGCGGAAGGAUCAUUAACACAAACUGUGGCUGCGCACGUGCACGUCGCCUCUUCACCGAGGACUCACGAUUGCUGCUGGCGCUCCACAUUUGGAUCCAUAUCCAUUUACCCCUGUGAACUGUUAAAGUCUUUCCAUUGUGUUAUUAACACCUUGUGAUUGACCUCUGACUGAAUUCGGCACAACGGUGUGCGCGUGCUUCUGCACGUGCUCCUGCGUGUGCCAAAUCCUUAACCAAAAACAACUCUUAACAACGGAUAUCUUGGUUCUC